rnacentral:rRNA from 1 species
UACGUAGGCAGCGAGCGUUGUUCGGAAUUACUGGGCGUAAAGCGUGCGUAGGCGGCCGUGAAAGUUAGAAGUGAAAGCCCUGGGCUCAACCUGGGAAUUGCUUUUAAUACUACACGGCUAGAAUUCGGGAGAGGAUAGCGGAAUUGUCAGUGUAGCAGUGAAAUGCGUAGAUAUUGACAGGAACACCAGUGGCGUAAGCGGCUAUCUGGACCGACAUUGACGCUGAGGCACGAAAGCGUGGGGAUCAAACAGG